rnacentral:snRNA from 1 species
GUGCUCGCUUCGGCAGCACAUAUACUAAAAUUGGAACGAUACAGAGAAGAUUAGCAUGGCCUCUGCGCAAGGAUGACACGCAAAUUCGUAAAAUCCAUUACCUACUG